GGCCUCGUAGCUCAGCUGGCACAGCAAUUGCGGUUCUAAAGCAAGGGUGGAAACCAUGCGUGGGUUCGAAUUCCGCCGGGGUCA
rnacentral:tRNA from 1 species